rnacentral:misc_RNA from 1 species
GAAAUGCGAUAAGUAAUGUGAAUUGCAGAAUUCAGUGAAUCAUCGAAUCUUUGAACGCACAUUGCGCCCUUUGGUAUUCCAAAGGGCAUGCCUGUUCGAGCGUCAUUUGUACCCUCAAGCUUUUGCUUGGUGUUGGGCGUGUUUGUCUUGCAAAAGACUCGCCUUAAAACGAUUGGCAGCCGGCCUACUGGUUUCGGAGCGCAGCACAUUUUUGCGCUUGCAACCAGCAAAAGAGGACGGCAAUCCAUCAAGUACAUUUCUCACUUUUGACCUCGGAUCAGGUAGGGAUACCCGCUGAACUUAAGC